GGAGAGAGUGUGUUGUCGGCAAUGCUCUGUUGAUCUUUCAUUUUCUUGAUAUUUUGGCUACUGGGUCUCUCUCUUUAUCUGAUUUUGUGUAGUGGAUCGAAGGAUCGGGGGUUGGGUUUCUUGGUUUAUCGGAUCUUGAGAUCUGAUCUGUAAUUUGGGCAUGUUGGUUGGCGACUUAUCGGGCUGAGACUGGUAGCUGAUUGCAAAUCCGUUGUUUACAUCUAAGUGGACUGACAAUGGAUCCAGAAGGUGAUGUGAAGGGAAAGUCCUUGAAGACCUUAGGUGGUCAAGUCUGUCAGAUCUGUGGUGAUGGUGUUGGCACUACUGUGAAUGGCGAGCCAUUUGUUGCUUGCGAUGUCUGUGCCUUCCCUGUUUGUAGGCCAUGCUAUGAAUAUGAGAGGAAGGACGGGAAUCAAUCUUGCCCACAGUGCAAGACCAGAUACAAGAGACAUAAAGGAAGUCCUGCUAUUAGUGGUGAAAGUGUAGAAGAUGGUGAUGCUGAUGAUGGUGCCAGUGAUCUAAAUUACUCUUCUGAAAAUCUGAAUGAGAAGCAAAAAGUGGCAGACCGUGUGUUGAGCUGGCACGCGACUUACGGGCGGGGUGAGGAGACUGGUGCUCCAAAGUAUGAUAAGGAGGUCUCCCACAAUCAUAUUCCUCUGCUUACAAAUGGAACAGAUGUUUCUGGGGAAUUAUCUGCAGCAUCACCUGGACGCUAUUCAAUGGCAUCUCCUGGACCUGCUGGUGGUGCAAAACACAUCCAUCCACUUACAUAUUCAACAGAUGCUAACCAAUCACCUAACAUCAGGGUUGUGGACCCAGUAAGGGAGUUUGGAUCCCCUGGACUUGGCAAUGUUGCUUGGAAAGAAAGAGUUGAUGGCUGGAAAAUGAAGCAGGAUAAGAAUGUUGUGCCAAUGACCACUAGCCAGCCACCUUCGGAACGAGGAGUUGGAGAUAUUGAUGCUAGUACUGACAUUCUGGGGGAUGACUCUUUACUCAAUGAUGAGGCUAGACAACCUCUUUCAAGGAAGGUGUCUAUUCCAUCGUCUAGAAUAAAUCCUUACAGGAUGGUUAUUGUCCUCCGGCUUGUCAUUCUUUGUAUUUUCUUGCACUAUCGGAUAAUGAAUCCAGUGCCCAAUGCAAUUCCGUUAUGGUUGUUAUCUGUGAUAUGCGAGAUUUGGUUUGCAUUUUCUUGGAUUUUGGAUCAGUUCCCUAAG
rnacentral:misc_RNA from 1 species